GUGAAGAACGCAGCGAAAUGCGAUAAGUAAUGUGAAUUGCAGAAUUCAGUGAAUCAUCGAGUCUUUGAACGCACAUUGCGCCCCCUGGUAUUCCGGGGGGCAUGCCUGUCCGAGCGUCAUUGCUGCCCUCAAGCACGGCUUGUGUGUUGGGCUCCGCCCCCCUCCCGGGGGGCGGGCCCGAAAGGCAGCGGCGGCACCGCGUCCGGUCCUCGAGCGUAUGGGGCUUUGUCACCCGCUCUGUAGGCCCGGCCGGCGCCCGCCGGCGACCCCAAUCAAUCUUUCCAGGUUGACCUCGGAUCAGGUAGGGAUACCCGCUGAACUUAAGCAUAUCAAUAAGCGGAGGA
rnacentral:misc_RNA from 1 species